UGUUUUAAUACCUCAGGACAUACAUUAUACAUACAUUGGAUCCCUCAGACUAUAAUAAUACUUUGGCACUGAUCACUACCGGCCAACCCUUAAGUCUGAACAUUCACAAUCCCUUGAUCUUCUGUGGCACUCAGGCUUUCUGCAGCCUACUGUAGCCUUUCUGCUGCCUUUCUGGGCCAUGGUGUUGUUGUUGUUGUUGUUUUUUUUUCUAAAAUUAGUAAUGGUACCUGAUGAGGAAACCUUACUGGUUCCCAUUAGUGUGUAUAUAGUGGCAUGAGAAAUGAGUGGUUCAGUUCUUACCCUUAUCUUAUAGUCCUGGGUAUAAGUGCUGGUGUUGCCACUGGAACAGUAGGUCUGACUACCUCUGGAGCUACUUGGCUUCACUUUUCAUUUAAGUUCAUCCAGAAUUUUCAAGAGGUGGCUCAGACUAUCCUUACCCUGAAGGGCAAAAUAGGCUCACUGGCCACCAUAUCCGUAUAAAAGCAGAGAGAAUUAAGUUUACCAACAGCAGAGAGAGGUGGUCUUUGUCUCUUCCUCAGGCAGGAAUGCUGCUUCUGCAUUAGCCAGUCAGGUAUAGUAGGAGACAGGUCCAGUAUCUCCAGAUGGAUCUC
rnacentral:lncRNA from 1 species